rnacentral:rRNA from 1 species
GACGAACGCUGGCGGCGUGCUUAACACAUGCAAGUCGAACGGAAAGGCCCUGCUUUUGUGGGGUGCUCGAGUGGCGAACGGGUGAGUAACACGUGAGUAACCUGCCCUUGACUUUGGGAUAACUUCAGGAAGCUGGGGCUAAUACCGGAUAGGAGCUCCUGCUGCAUGGUGGGGGUUGGAAAGUUUCGGCGGUUGGGGAUGGACUCGCGGCUUAUCAGCUUGUUGGUGGGGUAGUGGCUUACCAAGGCUUUGACGGGUAGCCGGCCUGAGAGGGUGACCGGCCACAUUGGGACUGGGAUACGGCCCAGACUCCUACGGGAGGCAGCAGUGGGGAAUAUUGCGCAAUGGGCGGAAGCCUGAUGCAGCAACGCCGCGUGCGGGAUGACGGCCUUCGGGUUGUAAACCGCUUUCGCCUGUGACGAAGCGUGAGUGACGGUAAUGGGUAAAGAAGCACCGGCUAACUACGUG